AUAUACAGGCUGUCUUGUUUCCUUUCUCAUGUUAUUUUAUUUUACGUAUCAUCUUUCCAGGAAUGAAAGGACCUAUUGGAAUACCAGGCUCUCCUGGCCCUGAUGGGGAACCAGGCCUUCCUGGGCCCCCAGGUCCUCCUGGGUUGCCUGGUCCUUCGGGACUGAGCAUUAUAAUCAAAGGAGAUCCUGGUCCUCCAGGAGUUCCUGGCCAACCUGGAUUAAAAGGUCCACCAGGACUUCCAGGCCCUAAAGGCUUACCAGGUACAAUUGGUCCUCCAGGAGAUCCAGGAAGAAAUGGACUCCCAGGCUUUGAUGGUGCAGGAGGGCGCAAAGGAGACCCAGGUCUGCCAGGACAGCCAGGUAAAAUGACUAAAACAGUGCUUCUGGUUGUGAUGUUUAUACUUUCA
rnacentral:lncRNA from 1 species